CGGCACAGAGGGAAGCCAGGUGGCGACACCGCGCGGAACCCGAAAGCCGUUCUCAGUUCGGAUCGGAGUCUGCAACCCGACUCCGUGAAGCUGGAUUCGCUAGUAAUCGCGCAUCAGCCAUGGCGCGGUGAAUACGUUCCCGGGCCUUGUACACACCGCCCGUCAAGCCAUGGGAGCCGGGGGUGCUUGAAGUGCGUCGCCGCAAGGCGCGCCCUAGAGCAAAACCGGUGACUGGGGCUAAGUCGUAACAAGGUAGC
rnacentral:rRNA from 1 species